UACGUAGGGUGCAAGCAUUAAUCGGAUUUAUUGGGCGUAAAGAGCUCGUAGGCGGCUUGUCGCGUCGUUCGUGAAAACCCGGGGCUCAACUCCGGGCUUGCGGGCGAUACGGGCAGGCUAGAGUUCGGUAGGGGAGACUGGAAUUCCUGGUGUAGCGGUGAAAUGCGCAGAUAUCAGGAGGAACACCGGUGGCGAAGGCGGGUCUCUGGGCCGAUACUGACGCUGAGGAGCGAAAGCGUGGGGAGCGAACAGG
rnacentral:rRNA from 1 species